AAGCAAAAUCUGAUUGGUUUCACGUCACCAGUAAUAGCUUAUCAGCCCUGAAAGGAGCUGCUCCGGUGAGCAAACCCAGGUGUAUGUCGUGCGGCAUACAACAGAUAUGGCCAAAGUUUCCCAGAAAUACCACUGAAAAUGCCCAAAGUCAUUGCCUAUGGGAUCCCCCUCAAUGGAUGUUCUUUUGAAAAAAAAUCCAGGUGAUUGUCAAAGAAGAUUUUGAGCCCAAAUGAAGUCCCAAUAUUUUGGGCAGCCCUAGUGUUCGGUACAUGUUUGCAUGUUCCCUUGAUUUUUGAGGUACCUCCCCUUCUCCCAACCUUGGAGUCAGCCUUGCGGAUAGUUUGAACUGAAUAAAAAAAAUAUUUCCAGAUCCUAAAAGAGAAAACUCUUGAGAUGCAUUGCAUUGGGAAGUUUUUCAACGACUUUCACAUCCUUGUCACACUAAAACUAAAGGAUUCCAGUCUGUAGGAUUAGAGGCUGCGACUCCAAUUAUGAUAAACAGAAGAUCUAUUACAGGAGCUGCCAAACAGUCUGGAUUACUAAUGAGUUGAAGGAUACAGAGGUCCGUUAGCAGACACACAAGUAUUGACACAGGUCAUCUGAGAACUGGAUACAAAGCAUAAAUCAGAACCUGCUUCACGGAAUGUUCUCAGCGGCAGGAAGGUGGAAGGGUGUUAAGGACCGAGGAGGAGGGGCUGUCUAUCUGCCCAGAAUGGGGAAACAGGAGACGGCUGCAGAUUAAACAGGACAGAUCUGAGUGCUGAGUUGUUGGCGGAGCAGGACCGUUAUUGGCAGGACUGUUUGCAGCUGUGUAGAUUUAUGUAUUUUUGUGUGUGUGUGUG